AACGAACGCUGGCGGCAUGCCUAACACAUGCAAGUCGAACGGGAUCCGGACUUCGGUCCGGUGAGAGUGGCGGACGGGUGAGUAACACGUGGGAACCUGCCUUUUGGUUCGGGAUAACCGCGGGAAACUGCGGCUAAUACCGGAUGCUCCCGAGAGGGAAAAGAUUUAUCGCCAGAAGAGGGGCUCGCGUCCGAUUAGGUAGUUGGUGGGGUAAUGGCCUACCAAGCCGACGAUCGGUAGCUGGUCUGAGAGGAUGAUCAGCCACACUGGGACUGAGAUACGGCCCAGACUCCUACGGGAGGCAGCAGUGGGGAAUAUUGGACAAUGGGGGCAACCCUGAUCCAGCAAUGCCGCGUGAGUGAUGAAGGCCUUAGGGUUGUAAAGCUCUUUUGCCAGGGAAAAUGAUGACUGUACCUGGGGAAUAAGCCCCGGCUAACUUCGUGCCAGCAGCCGCGGUAAU
rnacentral:rRNA from 1 species